rnacentral:tRNA from 1 species
GUUUAAAUAAUUUAAUAAAAAUAUUGAUUUGUGGUGUCAAAAAUGUUUUAAGUAAACUUUAAAUA